CAUUAGCUAGUUGGUAGGGGUAACGGGCCGUACCAAGGCGAUGAUGCAUAGCCCGAGUUGAGAGACUGAUCGGGCCACAUUGGGACUGAGACACGGCCAAACUCCUACGGGAGGCAGCAGUAGGGGAAUCUUCCACAAUGGACGCAAAGUCUGAUGGAGCAAAACGCCGCGUGAGUGAAGAAGGGUUUCGGCUCGUAAAAGCUCUGUUGUUGGUGAAGAAGGACAGGGGUAGUAACUGACCCUUUGUUUGACGGUAAUCAAUUUAGAAAGUCACGGGCUAACUACGUGCCCAGCAGCCGCGGUAAAU
rnacentral:rRNA from 1 species